UGCGCCGAUCUGUAAAUAAACCAACACUCCCUCUCAACACAUCCUCACACACACACUGCAGAUUGAAUAUGGAUGCAAUUGAAAGAGAAGGUGCGGUGAUGAGUAAUCAAAUAAUCUCGUUAAACUGAUUGUUACUGAGGAAAUCUUCAAUCCAUUCUUAAUCUACUCUGAGCGCCUUCUCCUUUUGUUUUCAAUUUCUCAGCUCUUUUUUUCAUCUAAAAUAUUUUUCUUUGAUGAAUUUGUAUUCUAUUUGAAAAUUUUCAAAGUUAACCAACAUACACCUAAAAUUAUUAUCUUUACUUCAGUUAAUGAUUAUCUGGCAUUCGAUUUUGUGCUUGAGUUUAAUUUUAAAUGUUUUUCGCAAAUGUAGGUCUGGUUUUCAACAUUUUUGUUUUUUUGUUUUUUGUUUUUUGUUUUUUUCAAUUUUCACCUUAGUAGAGUAAUUUACAUAAUAUUAUAUUCAUAUUAUCUUUUAUGUUCUAUGCUAUCAGAAAAAUAAAUAAUUGUAGCCAAAUGGCCGGCUUAUUUUAUUUUAUUUAUUAUUGACCUAUCCAAAUUUUAGUGGAGGGAUCUAAUGGCAAUGCCAACGCUAACGUCAAAUUGAAUCAUUAUUUGUACAAAGAUGUUUCAAUGCAACACUAUGCUUUGAUGCAAAAUGGAUCACUUCGCACCGGUAUAAAGUCUCUCUUGUCCUUUUUUAUUCCUUAUCAAAUAAAUUUGCUAUA
rnacentral:lncRNA from 1 species